rnacentral:tRNA from 13 species
GGAGAAUUACUCAAGAGGCUGAAGAGGACGGUUUGCUAAAUCGUUAGGUCGGGUGACUGGCGCGGGGGUUCGAAUCCCCCAUUCUCCG